AUUGAACGCUGGCGGCAGGCCUAACACAUGCAAGUCGAGCGAGCGGAGGACGGGUGAGUAAUGUCUGGGAAACUGUCUGAUGGAGGGGGAUAACUACUGGAGACGGUAGCUAAUAUCGCAUACCCUAUGAUGUGCCCCGAGGGGAUUAGAUGGUAGGUGGGGUAACGGCUCACCUAGGCGACGAUCCCUAGCUGUGCUGAGAGGAUGACCAGCCACUCUGGAACUGAGACACGGUCCAGACUCCUACGGGAGGCAGCAGUGGGGAAUAUUGCACAAUGGGCGCAAGCCUGAUGCAGCCAUGCCGCGUGUGUGAAGAAGGCCUUCGGGUUGUAAAGCACUUUCAGCGGGGAGGCGUUACCCGCAGAAGAAGCACCGGCUAACUCCGUGCCAGCAGCCGCGGUAAUAC
rnacentral:rRNA from 1 species